UACGUAGGGUGCGAGCGUUGUCCGGAUUUAUUGGGCGUAAAGAGCUCGUAGGCGGUGUGUCGCGUCGGCCGUGAAAACCUGCAGCUUAACUGUGGGCGUGCGGUCGAUACGGGCAUCACUGGAGUUCGGCAGGGGAGACUGGAAUUCCUGGUGUAGCAGUGAAAUGCGUAGAUAUCAGGAGGAACACCGAUGGCGAAGGCAGGUCUCUGGGCUGACACUGACGCUCAUGCACGAAAGCGUGGGGAGCAAACAGG
rnacentral:rRNA from 1 species